UACGAAGGGGGUUAGCGUUGUUCGGAAUUACUGGGCGUAAAGCGCACGUAGGCGGAUCGAUCAGUCAGGGGUGAAAUCCCAGGGCUCAACCCUGGAACUGCCUUUGAUACUGUCAACCUGGAGUAUGGAAGAGGUGAGUGGAAUUCCGAGUGUAGAGGUGAAAUUCGUAGAUAUUCGGAGGAACACCAGUGGCGAAGGCGGCUCACUGGUCCAUUACUGACGCUGAGGUGCGAAAGCGUGGGGAGCAAACAGG
rnacentral:rRNA from 1 species